UACGUAGGGGGCAAGCGUUGUCCGGAUUUAUUGGGCGUAAAGAGCUCGUAGGUGGUUUGGUAAGUCGGAUGUGAAAUCUCCAGGCUCAACCUGGAGGGGUCAUUCGAUACUGCCAUACUAGAGGUCGGUAGGGGAGUGUGGAAUUCCUGGUGGAGCGGUGAAAUGCGCAGAUAUCAGGAGGAACACCCGUAGCGAAGGCGGCA
rnacentral:rRNA from 1 species